rnacentral:lncRNA from 1 species
ACAGUCCAUCUGCUGUCAGGAAGGAGUGAGACACCAGUCUCGAAUCAGCAACGGCAGCUCGAUCUAGAAGAAUCCGUGAGGCUCUGUCAAUUGGCCCGAGCCCAGGGAAGUUGCUAGAGCACCACCGGAAGUUCUUUGGUGCGUCUCUCUCUAUGACGUCAUGACCGACAGUGAUCAGCGGAGGAGGUGAGGUGACCCAGUGCUACCCAGCAUCGCCCACUGUCUGUCGGGUGGUAGGUAGACCCCUUUCAAACGUCGUGAGUUCUUUCGAGCACCUGCUCUAGCGGAACAUCUCAUGUGUUUCCAGGAAACUUCCAGAAGAACACCACCUGUCUGUUUUCAGCAAAACAUCCUCCCAUGUGUCUGUCCCACAGGUCUGCUUCAGGAAGAAACAUCCUGACAUAAGACAGUUUUCCAAAAACAUCGCGCGACACAACUGAGUCUCCAAAACACCCAAACAUUCCCCCUUCACACCUCAGUCAACUUUUUUUUUUCUAGAAACAUCCUCACAGACAUGCCCAGAUAGUCUUACUUAGGUGAUUCUAAUUCCAGCCAAGUGCACAAUAAAUUAGCCAUGAUAGCCGGUCGUGGAGGCACACACCUUACCUCCUACCACUGGGGAGGCAGAGGACAAAGGUCUCUGUGAGUUCAAGACCAGCCUGGCCUAUGUCGAGAAUUCUAGGAUAGGUAGGGCGGGGUCGAGAGACCCAGGCUGAGAG